rnacentral:rRNA from 1 species
UACAGAGGGUGCGAGCGUUGUCCGGAUUCAUUGGGCGUAAAGAGCUCGUAGGCGGUUCGGCAAGUCGGGUGUGAAAACUCCUAGGCUCAACCUGGAGACGCCACCCGAUACUGCUGUGACUCGAGUCCGGUAGGGGACCACGGAAUUCCUGGUGUAGCGGUGAAAUGCGCAGAUAUCAGGAGGAACACCGGUGGCGAAGGCGGUGGUCUGGGCCGGAACUGACGCUGAGGAGCGAAAGCAUGGGGAGCGAACAGG